UACGGGGCGCACCAGUUACGAAAACUUGUCAAUGCACGAAAGUGUGAACGGGCUACCCCGAGUGCCGUCCGCUGAGGAUAGCUUUUGCUAGGUCUAAGGAGCCUUGUGAAUGAGGAGAGGGCAAGUCUGGUGUCAGCCGCCGCGGUAA
rnacentral:rRNA from 1 species